CUCCCGGAGUGAUUGUUUCAAUGUUGCUUGCUCGGAAGGGCCCUCCUGAGCAAACAACAGACGGUGCUCAAAGUAACAACUGGACUUAAUAAAAGGAGCUUACACAAAGGAGGAGCUGAAGGCUGCUGUGGUCGUGUGCUGGGGACUGCCCCAGCUCCAACUGCAGGACCCCGGCCGUCCACCUUCCGACUCCGGUGAUGAUUCUUCCUGCGGUCUGAUCAAGAUUCUACACAGUUAACUUUGUAUCCAAGGAUCUAUAGCCAAGAAAUUUGGAGCUGAGUUUCAAAUAAGAAAUCUUAAAAGUUUGAGAAGAAAAUAUGGUAAAUAACUAAGAGAAAUCUCUGGUCAAUACUCAACAAGUCCUUCAGUCCAACAAUAUUCCAUACAUGAAAUCCUGCCAAUAACCAGGCUGCCUGUUUGAGCUGAGAUGUUGGUCUUCUCCUGCCCUUGGACUGGAAUUUACACCAUCAUCUUCCCUGUUUCUUUGGCCUUUGGUCUCAUACUUGAAUUACCACCAGCUUUUCUGGGUAUAUAUGUAUGUGUGUGUGUGUGUGUGUGUGUGUGUUUGUGUGUGUGUGUGUGUGUGUGUGUGCCCUAUUGGUUUUAUGUUUUUGGAGAACUCCGAUGAACACAAAUGUCAUACAGAUUGUUAGUGGUUAGACUAAAUUAGAACACAGUUCCUCAGAUUCCUAUUGCCUAGCACUCCUUCCAUACUGGGUUAUAAGCAAACGUCAUUUUAUAUCUGAUAUUAAAUUUUGUAUUGUAUUAACUGAAAUAUUGUUUUCAUAGUCAUUGGGAGUAGGGUGCAUAUGGAGGGUUUGAAAUAGUAAUUGCAUUCUGACUCUAAAGCAAAACAUGUGUGUUGAUACACCCAGCAUAGAGCACGUUGUACAUUGUCUGUUUAUGAUUUGUGGG
rnacentral:lncRNA from 1 species